GGGCAUUUGGCCGAGUGGUUAAGGCGCUGUGUUUAGGUACUCUGAAAAGAAACUUAAAUCCCGCAGUGGGAAACCGCGCAGGUUCGAAUCCUGCAGUGCUCA